UACGUAGGGUGCAAGCGUUAAUCGGAAUUACUGGGCGUAAAGCGUGCGCAGGCGGUUAUGUAAGACCGAUGUGAAAUCCCCGGGCUCAACCUGGGAACUGCAUUUGUGACUGCAUAGCUAGAGUACGGUAGAGGGGGAUGGAAUUCCGCGUGUAGCAGUGAAAUGCGUAGAUAUGCGGAGGAACACCGAUGGCGAAGGCAAUCCCCUGGACCUGUACUGACGCUCAUGCACGAAAGCGUGGGGAGCAAACAGG
rnacentral:rRNA from 1 species